rnacentral:rRNA from 1 species
UACGAAGGGGGCUAAGUCGUGCUGGAAUGACUGGGCGUAAAGGGCGCGUAGGCGGCUGGGGAAGUCCGUGGUGAAAGCUCGUGGCUCAACUGCGAGUCGGCCAUGGAUACUCCUCGGCUUGAGCACUGUAGAGGCAGGUGGAAUUCCGGGUGUAGCGGUGGAAUGCGUAGAGAUCCGGAAGAACACCGGUGGCGAAGGCGGCCUGCUGGGCAGUAGCUGACGCUGAGGCGCGACAGCGUGGGGAGCAAACAGG